CGGGGGGGGCAAGCGUUGUUCGGAAUUACUGGGCGUAAAGGGCUCGUAGGCGGCCAACUAAGUCAGACGUGAAAUCCCUCGGCUUAACCGGGGAACUGCGUCUGAUACUGGAUGGCUUGAGUUUGGGAGAGGGAUGCGGAAUUCCAGGUGUAGCGGUGAAAUGCGUAGAUAUCUGGAGGAACACCGGUGGCGAAGGCGGCAUCCUGGACCAACACUGACGCUGAUGAGCGAAAGCCAGGGGAGCAAACGGGAUUAGAUACCCCGGUAGUCCUGGCCCUAAACGAUGAAUGCUUGGUGUGGCGGGUAUCGAUCCCUGCCGUGCCGAAGCUAACGCAUUAAGCAUUCCGCCUGGGGAGUACGGUCGCAAGGCUG
rnacentral:rRNA from 1 species